UAGAGUUUGAUCCUGGCUCAGGACGAACGCUGGCGGCGUGCUUAACACAUGCAAGUCGAACGAUGAAGCCUGGCUUGCUGGGUGGAUUAGUGGCGAACGGGUGAGUAACACGUGAGUAACCUGCCCUUGACUCUGGGAUAAGCGCUGGAAACGGCGUCUAAUACCGGAUACGACCUGCCCCGGCAUCGGGUGUGGGUGGAAAGUUUUUCGGUCAAGGAUGGACUCGCGGCCUAUCAGCUUGUUGGUGAGGUAAUGGCUUACCAAGGCGACGACGGGUAGCCGGCCUGAGAGGGUGACCGGCCACACUGGGACUGAGACACGGCCCAGACUCCUACGGGAGGCAGCAGUGGGGAAUAUUGCACAAUGGGCGAAAGCCUGAUGCAGCAACGCCGCGUGGGGGAUGACGGCCUUCGGGUUGUAAACCUCUUUUAGUAGGGAAGAAGGGCUUCGGCUUGACGGUACCUGCAGAAAAAGCACCGGCUAACUACGUGCCAGCAGCCGCGGUAAUACGUAGGGUGCAAGCGUUGUCCGGAAUUAUUGGGCGUAAAGAGCUCGUAGGCGGUUUGUCGCGUCUGCUGUGAAAACCCGAGGCUCAACCUCGGGCCUGCAGUGGGUACGGGCAGACUAGAGUGCGGUAGGGGAGAAUGGAAUUCCUGGUGUAGCGGUGGAAUGCGCAGAUAUCAGGAGGAACACCGAUGGCGAAGGCAGUUCUCUGGGCCGUUACUGACGCUGAGGAGCGAAAGCGUGGGGAGCGAACAGGAUUAGAUACCCUGGUAGUCCACGCCGUAAACGUUGGGAACUAGAUGUGGGGGCCUUUCCACGGUCUCCGUGUCGCAGCUAACGCAUUAAGUUCCCCGCCUGGGGAGUACGGCCGCAAGGCUAAAACUCAAAGGAAUUGACGGGGGCCCGCACAAGCGGCGGAGCAUGCGGAUUAAUUCGAUGCAACGCGAAGAACCUUACCAAGGCUUGACAUAUACCGGAAACUUCCAGAGAUGGUUGCCCCGCAAGGUCGGUAUACAGGUGGUGCAUGGUUGUCGUCAGCUCGUGUCGUGAGAUGUUGGGUUAAGUCCCGCAACGAGCGCAACCCUCGUUCUAUGUUGCCAGCACGUGAUGGUGGGAACUCAUAGGAGACUGCCGGGGUCAACUCGGAGGAAGGUGGGGAUGACGUCAAAUCAUCAUGCCCCUUAUGUCUUGGGCUUCACGCAUGCUACAAUGGCCGGUACAAAGGGCUGCGAUACCGUAAGGUGGAGCGAAUCCCAAAAAGCCGGUCUCAGUUCGGAUUGAGGUCUGCAACUCGACCUCAUGAAGUCGGAGUCGCUAGUAAUCGCAGAUCAGCAACGCUGCGGUGAAUACGUUCCCGGGCCUUGUACACACCGCCCGUCAAGUCAUGAAAGUCGGUAACACCCGAAGCCAGUGGCCUAACCGUAAGGAGGGAGCUGUCGAAGGUGGGAUCGGUGAUUAGGACUAAGUCGUAACAAGGUAGCCGUAC
rnacentral:rRNA from 2 species